AGAGCGAACGCUGGCGGCAGGCCUAAUACAUGCAAGUCGAGCGCACCUUCGGGUGAGCGGCGGACGGGUGAGUAACGCGUGGGAACGUGCCCUUUGGUACGGAACAACUGAGGGAAACUUCAGCUAAUACCGUAUGUGCCCUUCGGGGGAAAGAUUUAUCGCCAUUGGAGCGGCCCGCGUUGGAUUAGCUAGUUGGUAGGGUAAAAGCCUACCAAGGCUACGAUCCAUAGCUGGUCUGAGAGGAUGAUCAGCCACACUGGGACUGAGACACGGCCCAGACUCCUACGGGAGGCAGCAGUAGGGAAUCUUGCGCAAUGGGCGAAAGCCUGACGCAGCCAUGCCGCGUGAAUGAUGAAGGUCUUAGGAUUGUAAAAUUCUUUCACCGGGAAGAUAAUGACGGUACCCGGAGAAGAGCCCGGCUAACUUCGCGCCAGCAGCCGC
rnacentral:rRNA from 1 species